rnacentral:lncRNA from 1 species
GAUGAUUCUGUGGAAGCCGUUCUGAAGGAAGUAUGCAACUCAAAAACAUUGAGGACUCUUAGCUUGUACCUGCCCAAGUUCCAACUUUUAGAUGAUACAUCAUUGAUAUAUCCUUCCUUGUCACGCUUUAGAACUUACUGUCGGCUAUCAUAAAAGGAGAAUCAUAUCUCAUGUACCUCAUGAAGUUGAAGUAGAAUUCAGAAAAUGGGACAAAUGCUUGAGGUUUGUGAAUGGUGAAAACGUCCCAGUUCAAAUAAAAGGGGUACUGAAAUAUUCUACUUCAUUUUUCUUGGAUCACCAGACAACCGCUAUGAAUUUAUCUGAAUUCCGGAUCGAGAAUAUGAAGGGGCUAAAAUUUUGCUUGUUGGCAGAAUGUAAUAAAACGGAAACCCUAAUUGAUGGAGAGAUGCAUUAUGAAAGAAAUGAAGAUGGUCAAUCUGAAUCUCACCCUGGUUCUGUACAACACAUGCUUGAAUCCCUAGAAUAUUUGAGCAUUUAUUACAUGGAGGAUUUGCAGUGUAUUUGGAGAGGAGCAGAUCGUUUCGGAUGUAUGUCUAAGUUGAAAUUCCUGGCGCUGCAUGCAUGCCCCCAGCUGAGUAAAAUUUUCAGCCUUACUUCGCUUGAAAAUUUUAUCAACUUGGAGGAGAUAAUUGUUGACGACUGCCCCCGAGUCACAAGCCUUUUAAGUCAUGCAUCCGUCAAGCCAUUCAUGUAAGAUAAAAUAUUUCUUCCAAGUUUGAAAAGAUUGCUGCCUCUGUACCUUCCUGAACUGGUCAGCAUUUCUAAUGGCAUCUUAAUAGCACCAAAGUUAGAAAGCAUAGGCUGUGUUACAAUUUGCCCAAAGCUUAAAAUAUAAAAAAAUAAUAAUAAUUGAGUCUUAGUUCGAUUGGCCUUAGUAUUGUUGUCAAUGCAAAAAGAUGUGGGUUUAAGUACAGUGAAACACAUUAUCAUCUUAUUUAUGGGUUGAGGAGAAAUUAUGAGUAAUUCUAAUCAUUCUAUUAAAAAAAAACAGAUAUAAUCAGUACCUAUAACGACAGUGAUUGCAUAUUGCAUUCCUUGGGAAUUUAGUAUUAAACCAUAAUCUAUGCCAAAAACUUCCACCUGCUUGUGCCAAACAGCUUCCCAGUUACUAUAUGAAAAUGCCCUGUGAUCUCUUCAUGUAUACAUAUUUUGGCCAAAAUAAUGAGAAACUUCAACCUCGUUAAAAAAAAAAAAAAAGGUUUGAUAAUGGCUGAUAAGAAGUACUGAUUUUAACAUUACUCGUUUGAUCAAUGGUAGGUGAUGAAAAGUUGCUGGAAGGUUCAAGACAAGAUCAUAAAGGCCAGUGCUGGGGUAAUCUUUCUUUACGGACUCUUAUGAAACAACUCUUUCAUUUUUGGUUCCUUUUAAACUCAUUUAGGCAAUUGUGGUGCAUUACUUUCAGACUGUAAAGAAGAGAGAGCAAUGGGAACAGAUGUGACAGAGUCUCCUUCGGCAUGCAUACUUGCAUCUAGUCCAUUAUUGAGGACUUCCCAUGUAAGUACAUCUCAACUUACAGAGCAACCAGAAACAACAUAUGAAGUGUUCUUUUUUUCUUGUUUUAUUCGGGGUUUUACCAUCACGAAGGUCUGUAUUUCGACCGGAAGUAACUGACCUCGUUAUACACGAAAUUAAAAGCCUUGCCAAUUUGCUGAGUCCUGAGUUUUUAUUUGGCAUAGUCGUUUUUUUUCGAAUAGGUGUUUUUUUUUUUUUGCUAAAAUAAAAUAUUUAUUUUAAAGAUUCUAACAUUGAUUUUUUUAACCAGAAAAGUGAGUUUAUAUGAUUGUUACAUGUCCAUUUAAUACGUUAAUCAUUGAUAUACAAGACAUUAAUCAAAGGUUUUAGCCGGUUUUUGGAGUUAUUACUACUGAUUUUGAAAUUCUGGUCUAUAUAUGUACAGAUUGAUCAUUCGUUUGUUUUCAUUUAAUUAUUUUCCCUGAUUUUUUGAAUGUUUUCUUCUAAUUGAACGCUCUUUAAUCGCAUUUAACUACUUUUUUAAUGUUUGUAAUGAAAAACCUAAGGUUAUUUGGAUCUCCAUUUUUUUCCUCUUACUUUUUUGGUUAUAUUUCCGCUUCUUUUUAAUGUUUUGAAAUGAAAAUUUCUUGAAGACGGUGCAAGUGGGAAAAUGGACAAAGAACACAUGUUCGACAAAGUGGCGACGCCAAGCGACGUGGAGAAGCUCAACCGGCUUGUUAUCCCAAAGCAACAUGCUAAGAAGUGUUUCCCAUUGGAUUCUAUGGGCGGGAAAGGUGUUCCGUUGAAUGUCGAGGACAGGAAUGGGAAGGCGUGGAGAUUCAGGUACUCUUAUUGAAAUAGUAGCCAAAGCUAUGUUCUGACCAAAGGGUGGAGCCGUUUUGUCAAGAAUAAGAAACUCGAUGCUGGGGAUAUAGUUUUCUUUCACAGAGGAGUUGGUGAGUUGGGUAAAGAUCGUCUUUUUAUUGAUUGGAGGCGGAGACCAGAUGCACCGGUGGCCCAAGGCAAGGUAGCAACCAAUAGUUUUAAGGCUUUUCGGGUGAAAAUGGAUUUGUUGCGAGAUAACUGUUCAUGCAAAGUUGACGAACACUUUAAUUUUGGUGAACUAAAAAUAUGAUCUAGACUUUUAGAGUUUGCUUGCAAGUUAUAUUUACAAAAUAUAUUUUCUUUCUAAAAGAUUUAGUAUUUAUUAGUACAAUAUAUUUAAUAUUUAUUAAUAUAAAAUCUUAAGUUAUUUCUUUCUAUUUUUAGCAGUUUUUGUUAUAAAUACCUCUGUUACAUUGUCCAAAAUAUGUGAGUGAUAAAUAAUAAUAAUAAAACCCUAGCAUAUAAUUUUGUUGCUAAAUUUCUCGUUUCUUCUAUACAAUUCUUUAUUCUUUAGUAUCGAAACUCCAACAAUUGAUACUAGAGCUGUCUUCUUAAGGGUCGCAAUUGAUCUUUCUAAGUUAUUGAUGGUUGUCGAUUCCACCAAUAUAAAUUUACGCCUAAUUUGCAAUUUAAGCAGUAUAGGGAGUAAGGUCGAUCCCUCAGAGACUGGGUUUACUGAAAAUUGUUUCUCUUUCUCGACCAGAUUUUUGUUUGGCCAGUUGUCAUGCCCAAGAAAUUUGUGGGGAGGAUAAAAUUGAAAACCUGGAACCUAAAAUAAAUAGGGAAAAAAAUGCGUGAAAAGUAAAAGCUAAAAAUAAAAUAAUAAAAACAGUUAAAUAAAUCUGAAGAAAAAUUAAUUAAACUAAGCUCAGCUUUAGGCACGAGUUUUUCCUCGUCUUUGAACCGAUAUCGAAAUUAGAUGAACUCCUCUUUUCCAAUACGCUAGUUAUAGUUAUCAAGGACGCCUUGGACACCAACUCUUCCUUGUGUAAAUUAGUUAUGGAACGUCCUAUAACUAACCCUUACCGAUCAAACAACCAACGAAACGUUCGUGAUUUAAAACUUCGGUAACUUUGCGUUCUAGAAGAGCCUAGCUCGAACCAAUGUCCUCAACCGUGUGGGACAUUUAAAUCCGGUUACUACUUCCCUUGACGGAACCAAACAGCAAUCUCCACUUGGCACGCCAAUGUGUGCACAGAAAACCGAUUAGACAAUUGAUCCUUUCGGAAUUCCAACUGUACGUCUAACCACACUAAAUCAAACGACGUCUUUUUUGACUUAAUGUUUAUCUGAGUUUGUGAGUUGACAAAACCAUACUCUUAAUCUGGAGAAAUCAUAAGUACUGGAAUUUAGGAGUUAAAUUGCUCGGGUUCGUAACUUACGGGUUUUGACGAGGCUAAUUCUGACCUAAAGCUGAAAAUUGAUUUAGUUAACUAAGGUUUGGGGCAUAUUAGAGUUGGAUAAAUUAAAUAAGGUAAAAGUGGGAGAAAAGAAUGGGUGGCAUGAUUAAGUAUAGGGGCUGGAAUUUUGGUAGUGUAUUAAAGUGAGAUGGUUAGCUACUGGAAAUGAAAAGGAAGUUUGAAAAAGAAAUUGUGAAUGGUUUAAGUGGUAACAAGCUGGAAAUUAAUGAAUUGAAAGUAAAGGAAACUAAAACAACAAAUAAUUUCGUGAGUAGAAAGGAGGAAUUGUAUUCCAAAGAUGAAAACUUGAUUUAUGACUUGAUGAAUAAGUGAACAAUGUAGCCCCCUAUUUAUACUAGUGGCUUUGCUAAAUUAAGAGCCACUAACCAUAGAAAAUCAAGGAAAUAAAAUAUUCCAUGAUAUAAAAAAUCUCAACAUAAUCUCCCACUAAGUCAACAAAAAUUUUAGCUAAUUACAUCUUGGAAAAAUUCAGCUUUGGUCCUCCUUCUUUGCUUCUUUCUUCAAUCCAGCCCAAUUGUUUCCUUUUUCUUCUAUUUAGCCCAAAAUUGCACCCCUGCACAAAAUUCAACAUAAACAUGGAAAAAUCAGUGGUGCAUUCUAAUAAAUUGACCAAUUAAAUUGCAUGAAAUAUGUAUUUUUUAGCAUCUAAUCAAAUCCCCCUACUUAUUUAAUGCUAGUCCUCAAGCAUUAUGCAUGUAUCAGCAAAAGGAAAAAAAAAUUCCUCCAUAAUAGGAUUUGACCCCCAUGGUUUGCACAAUUCAACAAUUUAAUCCUAGCACAUUAACAUAUCAAAUAACCUAACCUAGACUUACCCUUCAUUUUAUUACUUUUGUACUUAGGACAUUUUCGAAUUUUUUAAUGCGAGACAUGAUGACAACCCAAGCACCAUGUUCCGGUUACUCAAUUCGGAUGUCUCUAAGCGGGUUAUUUCGCCCUACUCAUGAUAACUUGUUAGCAGAGUGAGUGCAAAGAAAUUGGACAACCACACGAACCUUUUUACGCGAGAUGUGAUGACAACCCAAGCACCACGUUCCGGGUACUCAUCCCGAUGUACAACCCAACUUUUCACUCUUAACAUUCGUAUCAGAGGAGUAUUAUUAUUCAUUUUUAUUUUUUAUUUAAAAAUUGACAUGUGAUAUAAGGUAGGCAGUCAAGCAAACUCAUAAUUCCUAAAAAUUUCUUACCCACUAAGUCUAGGUUAUUGAAAAGUUUAUGUGUAAAUAAGUAAAUAGCUAAAUAGGUCAAACCAUAAGUGUACCAUCCCAAUUUAUCAAAAGAAAAAAUUUACCUUUCACAAAAAACAUGCAAAAACAGAUAAGCAAAUUAGAACCAAUUUAUAUUUCCCUCCCCCUACAUAUUUCACAUUGUCCCAAUGUAAUUUGAAUUAUUUAAGGGAUAAAAAGUAAAAGUAAGUAAGGAAAGGAAAAAUAAACUCCCCAUGUAUUUCAACGUCGUGGAGGGUUACCUCAUAGGUGUCUCCACGGUGUUAAAUGGUGGGUAGGUGGAUUGGGCCUUGGCUGAAAUUAAAAGAAUUUUGUGGGCUGACAUGGGGGAUUUAAUUUUGUCUUGGAAUGUUUCCCUGCAAAAUAAAAAUAAAAAUAAAAAUAAAUAAUAAGAAAAAAUUAAAAUUAAAAUGUGUAUUUUUUUAUUUCUUGAAUUUAUUAGGUAAGCUAUAAACUCGAGAAAUAAAUUAUUAAAAACCAAGAUUACGAGAUUUGGUAAAACAAUCGUGAUAAAUGCACCAAGUUCCUAGGAAAGAGAGGUAAGUCACAACGGACGUUCUUAAGUACCAAGUCUUUCCUUAAACAGAACUGAUCCUCGACAUGCAUUUUCAUUUUCCGUUUUACCAAAAAUUUUAUCUACAUAAAGGGAAAAAUUUGGGUUGCCUCCCAAUAGCGAUUUGUUUAAAGUCGUUAGCUCAAUGACCUGUUAUUCAAAUUCUGGGCUCCUCGAGAACAAUCUCUUCAACUGUGUGCGUUUGAAAAUUCUCGUAAAAGGGUUUCAGUCAUUGACCAUUCACCUUAAAGCACUUCCGGGUUUCUUCAUUUUGAAUUUCCACUGCACUAUUCGAGAAUAAAUUAGUUAUAAUGAAUGGACCUAUCCAUUUGGAUCGAAGCUUACCAGCGAAAAUUUUUAAGGUGGAGUCGUAUAGGAGAACUUUUUGUCCUAUUGAAAACUACUUCCUAGCGAUUAACUUAUCAUGAAACGCCUUCGUCUUUUCUUUAUAAACUCGAGCAUUUUCAUACGCAUCGUUUCUAAUUUCCUCGAGUUCCUGGUUGUCCAACUUUCGAGACUUUCCUGCAGACUCCAUCUCUAUAUUACACUGCUUAACUGCCCAAAAUGCUUUAUGCUCUAAUUCGAUCGGGAGAUGGCAUGGUUUACCAAAAAUGAGUCGGUAAGGUGACAUGCCUAUUGGUCCCUUGUAAGCUGUCCUAUAAGCCCAAAUUGCGUUAUUUAGCCUCAAGCUCUAAUCCUUUCAGUUAGGUUUAACAGUCUUCUCCAAGAUGGACUUGAUUUCAUAGUUUGAAACUUCAGCUUGCCCGUUUGUUUGUGGAUAGUAAGCAGUGGCCAUUCGUUGAGUCACUCCAUGUUUCUCCAUAAGUGCACUUACGAGCUUAUUGCAAAAAUGAGUUCCUCUGUCACUGAUUAAUGCUCGUGGAGUGCCAUACCUGGAAAAGAUAGAACUUUUAAUAAAGUUAACCACAGUCUUAGCAUUAUCAUUGCGAGUAGCCUUUGCCUCUAUCCACUUAGAAACGUAAUCAACAGCUAAGAGUAUAUUAAAAUUACCGAAAGAAGAAAUGAAAGGACCCAUAAAAUCGAUACCCCACACAUUAAAAAUUUCGCAAAUAUGAAUAGGAGUAAGGGGCAUCUCAUUUCGACGACUAAGAUUACCAACUUUUUAGCAUAUUUCAUAAGUUUUGCAGAAUAAAAAGGCAUCACGAAAUAUAUUUGGCCAAAAUAGUCCACACUGGAGAAUUUUAUGUGCGGUGCGUUUAGGUCCAAAGUGUCAUCCACAUGCAUAAGAAUGACAAAAAGUUAAGAUAGACUGUACCUCUGUUUCUGCUACACACUGUUGAAUUACUUGAUCGGAGUAAUGCUUCCAAAGAUAAGGAUCAUCCCAAAUGUAAUACCGAGCAUCCUUUUUAUCUUACCUUUUCUCGACCUUGGUAAUUCUGAAGGAACAGUACUUGUAACGAGAUAAUUUACUAUGUCUGCGUACUAAGGAUGAAUCGCUUUUGCUGAAAACAGGUUUUCAUUUAGGAGUUAUCUUUCAAUGGUGUGUCGUCUACUGGAAUCGGUAAUCGACUUAGAUGGUUAGCUACUAAGUUUUCACAUCCCUUUUUAUCCCGAAUUUUAAAAUCAAACUCUUGUAGGAGCAGAAUCCACCUAAUCAGUCGAGGUUUUUCCUCCUUCUUCCCUAUUAAAUAUUUCAAAGUUACAUGAUCAGAAAAGAUAAUCACUUUAGUUCCUAACAGGUAAGAUCUAAAUUUGUUUAAAGCAAACACAAUAACUAAUAAUUCUUUCUCAGUGGUUGUGUAAUUGCUUUGGGUAGCAUAAAAAGUCUUCGAAGCAUAAUAGAUGACAUGAGGCUCUUUCCCUAUUCUUUGGCCAAGAAUAGCUCCCACACUUCGGUCACUUAUAUCACACAUGAUUUCGAACGGGAAGUUCCAAUUUGGUGGUUGCACUAUGGGAGCGGAGACCAAUUUCUACUUCAGCAAGUCAAAUACGUCUUUACAAAUUUGGUCAAAUUCAAAUUCUUUAUCCUUUUGUCAUAGACUGCAAAGUGGUUGUGCGAUUUUCGAGAAGUCUUUCAUGAAUCGUCUGUAAAACCCUGUAUGGCCAAGAAUCCCUCACAGAUGUGAGGUAAGGUAAUGAGUUAAUAAUAUCUGUUUUCGCCUUAUCGACCUCAAUUCCUUCCAAGGAAGCUAUAUGACCUAAAAUUAAUCCUUUGUCAACCACGAAGUGACAUUUUUCAUAAUUUAAAACAAGAUUAAAUUCUAGGCAUCUUUGUAAUAUCUUAGCAAGAUUAUCGAGACAUUCAUUAAAAGAGUUACCGUACACCGUGAAGUCAUCUAUAAAGACUUUAAUAAUUUUCUCGACAUAAUUGGAGAAUAUGCUCACCACACAUCUCUGAAAAGUGGCCGGAGCAUUAUAGAGUCCAAACGGUAUUCGUCUAUACGCAAAUGUUCCAAAGGGGCACGUAAAAGUUGUUUUAUCUUGAUCCUCAAGAGCCACUGAAAUGUGGAAAAAUCCUGAGUACCUAUCGAGACAACAAUAAUGGGUCUUACCAACUAAUCGAUCGAGCAUUUGAUCGAUGAAAGAGAGUGGAAAAUGGUCUUUCCGAGUACCCGCAUUCAACUUAUUGUAAUCAAUGCAAACCCUCCAUCCAUUCUAAACUCGGGUAGGGACUAGCUCUUUUGAUGAGUUUUUCACCACUAUCACGCCAGUUUUCUUGGGUACGACAUGAACCGGGCUAACCCAAUCACUGUCAGAGAUCGGGUAUAUCAUUCCAGCAUCUAGUAGUUUUUAGAUCUCCUUCUUUACUACCUCCAUCAUGGGUGGAUUAAGAUGUCUUUCAGCAUCUCUCUUUGGUUUCAUGUUAUCUUUGAUGGAAAUUUUGUGUAUACAAGUGGAUGGACUUAGCCGUUUUAUGUCGGUUAUUGUCCAACCAAUAGCUUCCUUAUAAUCCUUCAGAACUUGAACUAGACUUUUCUUCUCGUCUUUGGUUAUUUUGUUUGACACUAUCACCGGUAAGGUGUCUUUCUCUCCCAAAAAGACGUACUUGAGGUGGUCUGGUAAUGCUUUAAGCUCCAAGGUUGGUAGCUACAAAACCGAAAGUAACAUUUUAGUUUGGGAAGGUAAUAGUUCAAAUUGGUUACCUCGAUUCGUCAACGAUGGUUGCAUCUCCAAGUAUUUGACAAUUUCUCGCAACGGAUCUUUUAUAAUUGACAAUUCCUCGAGACGACUUAAAACAUCCAUGUCAAUGCUUCUAUAAAGGACAGUUUCUAACUCAUCAAAGUCAUGAUAUUCGAAAUAAGAUUGAGUUAAACAAUCUAUACUAUCGAUACUAGAAAUAUUUAAUAGUGAGUUAGGAUGACUCAUAGCUUCGUAGACAUUGAAUUUCACGAUUUUGCUAUCAAACUCGUCAGUGUUCCGCUCCGAACAUCAAUUUUUGCGCUUGCGGUACUUAAGAAUGACCUUCCAAGCAAAAUGUCAGAAGAAUUAGUUGAGUUAUCGUCCUCCAUAUUAAUAAUGUAGAAAUUUGUAGGGAAAACUAAUUCGUUAACUUUGACAAUGACGUCUUCAAGCAACCCUUCGGGGUAGACGAAUGACCUGUCCGCCAACUGGAUUAUUACUCUUGUCUCUUUUAAAGGACUCGCGUUAAUCAAUUUAUAAAUAAAGUAAGGCAUAACAUUAAUGGAAGCACCUAAAUCACACAUGGCUUUCUUAAUGCCUAUAUUGCCUAUCUCACAAGAAAUAGCAAACAUACAUUGGUCAUUGUAUUUGGGUGGAACUUUCUUUUGCAGUAUUGCAGAGACAUUUUCUCCUACAUUUACUCUUUCGUUACCUAUUAACCUCCUCUUUCUAGUACACAAUUCCUUGAGAAAUUUUGCAUAUCGAGGGAUUUGUUUGAUAGUGUCGAGCAAAGGGAUAUUUACCUCCACCUUCCUGAAUGUUUCGAGGAUUUCUUUUUCCUCAUUCUCUUUUUUAUCCUUUACAAGCCUCCUUGGAAAAGGAGGUGGCAUCACAACUAGUUUUUGAAUUUCUGAUUUCGGUCUAGCUUUUGGAUCAGAUAUCUAAUUUUACCGUUUCUUGUUUUGCCCAUGAUUUUUGUCUAGAACUGUUUCCAGAACCUUUCCGCUACGAAGAGUUAUUGCACUUGCAUUCUGCCGAAGAUUCGGCUCUGUCUGGGAAGGUAAUUUACCUUGAUAUUCUAAACGAUUAACCGUCAUCGAGAGUUUACUAACUUGAUUAGUUAACUUUUGUAUUGAUGUGUCUGUCCUAUGUUGGUAUUUUGUAGCAUUGACUGCAAGUCUCUCCAUAAUAGCUUCUAGAGAUGUGCUCGGCUUAGGUGGUAGUUACAGUGGUUACAGAAGUCUCGGUUGGUAUGAUGGAUUACAUCGGGGAUUAGCUCCAUAAUUCAAGUUGGGAUGAUCCUUCCACUCGGGAUUGUAGGUGUUUGAGAAAGCGUCAUAGCGUUUUUGCGGAGGUCUCGAAAAACCUCCAACAGCAUCAACGUGUGCCGUUGAGGUCUCGUUAAGGAUUGGGCACAAAUCCAUUGAAUGUUCAGAUGUAGUACAAAUUCUACACAGUUGGGUCAGAUUCUUCUUUUUUGUAAGCAUAUAUUGAACAAUAUUAGUAAGCUUAUCCAAUUUAUCUUCUAAGGAUAAAAUGUUUACCCCAUUAACCCGUCUUGUAAGUUCUGAAUUCGACCGAUACUAUUGAGAAUUUGUCGCUAUGGUGGAUACCAGUUCUCUUUCCCUUUGAGGAGUCAUAUUGACAAGCGCCCCUCCACUAGCAGCAUUAAUCAUUUUCAUUCCAUAGGGAGCAAACUUUCGUAGAAAUACUGAAGAAGUGAUUGCUCGGUCAAACCGUGUUGAGGACAACUUGCACACAGUUUUUUAUACCUCUUCCAAUAGUCAUAGAGCGAUUCAUUCUCCAUUUGGCAGAUUCCCACUAUGUCUCUCCUAAGUUCAGCUGCUCUCGAUGCUGGGAAAAAUCUAUCAAGAAAUACACGAGAUAAGCCAUCCCACGUUGUAAUAGAACCGGGGGUAAGUAAAAUAACCAUUCUCUUGCUGUAUCAACUAAAGAAAAAGGAAAGGCUCGAAAUUUGAUUUCAUCUUCGAUUACUCCCUGUAGUUUUAUGCUUGAGCAGACCAUGUGGAAUUCUCUCAAGUGGGUAUGUGGAUUUUCAUUCUUCAAGCCUCGAAAAGUGGGCAAUAGGUGAAUCGGGCCUGAUUUCAACUCGAAUGGGGUUUUUUCGGUUGUAUAAGUGAUACAUAACGGUGUUUGCUUAUUGGGAGUAGUGGCUAGUUGACGAAUGGUUCAGUUUGCCAUCCUUUCUAGUUUACCGAGGUUCUCUUCUGCUUCUUUCAUUUCAGGAAGUGGUUCGGUCUCAGGUUCAACCACUUCGACUUGUUUCCCACGUCGAAUUGCCUCUGCACGAAUUGCUUGGCUCAACCUUUUGACUUUUGAUUCUAUGAUCCUUUGUCCUAGCUCAACUUCUGCUUUACUUGCACGUUUAAGAGCUUCUAUCUCUUUUCGUUGUGCUCGUGCUGAUUUCUCAACCUUUGGGUCGUAUUCGAGAUCUCCGGAUAAAGAUCUGGUCAUAAAGAUGAUUAAACAAUUAUAAGUGUUGCCAAUCCCUGGCAACGGUGCCAAAACUGAUGGUUGUCGAUUCCACCAAUAUAAACCUACGCUUAAUUUGUAAUUUAAGCAGUAUAGGGAGUAGGUUCGAUCCCUCAAAUACUGGGUUUACUAAAAAUUGUUUCUUUUUCUCUACCAAUUUUUUGUCUGGGCAGUUGUCGCGCCCAAGAAAUUUGAAGGGAGGAUAAAAUUGAAAACCUGGAACCUGAAAUAAACAGGGAAAAAAUGCGUGAAAAGUAAAAGCUGAAAAUAAAAUAAUAAAAAUAGUUAAAUAAAUCUGAAGAAAAAUUAAUUAAACUAAGCUCAGCUUUAGGCAUGGAUUUUUUCUCGUCUUUGAACUGAUCCUCGAAAUUAAAUGAACUUCUCUUUUCCAAUAAGCUAGUUAUAGCUACCAAGGAUGCCUCGGACACCAACUCUUCCUUGUGUAAAUUAGUUAUGGAACGUCCUAUAACUAACCCUUACUGAUCGAACAACCAAUGAAACGUUCGUGAUUUAGAACUCCGGUAGCUUUGCGUUCUAGAAGAGCCUAGCUCGAACCAAUAUCCUCAACCUCGUGGGACAUUUAAAUCCUGUUACUACUUUCCUUAACGAAACCAAACAUCAAUCUCCACUUGGCACGCCAAUGUGUUCACAAAAAAUCGAUUAGACAAUCGAUCCUUUCGAAAUUCCAACUGUACGUCUAACCACACUAAAUCAAACGAUGUCUUUUUUGACUUAAUAUUGAUCUGAGUUUGUGAGUUGACAAAAUCAUACUCUUAAUCCGGAGAAAUCAUAAGUACUAGAAUUUAGGAGUUAAAUUGCUCGGGUUCGUAACUCACUGGUUUUAACGAGGUUAAUUCCGACCUAAAGCUGAAAAUAGAUUUAGUUAACUAAGGUUUGGGGCAUAUUGGAGUUGAAUAAAUUAAAUAAGGUAAAAAUGGGUGAAAAAAAUGGGUGGCGUGAUUAAGUAUAGGGGCGGUAAUUUUGGUAGUGUAUUAAAGUGAGAUGGUUAGCUACUGAAAAUGAAAAGGAAGUUUGAAAAAGAAAUUGUGAAUGGUUUAAGUGGUAACAAGCUGGAAAUUAAUGAAUUGAAAGUAAAGGAAACUAAAACAACAAAUAAUUUCAUGAGUAGAAAGGAGGAAUUGUAUUCCAAAGAUGAAACUUGAUUUAUGACUUGAUGAAUAAGUGAACAAUGUAGCCCCCUAUUUAUACUAGUGGCUUUGCUAAAUUAAGAGCCACUAACCAUUGAAAAUUUAGGAAAUAAAAUAUUCCAUGAUAUAAAAAAUCUCAACAUAAUCUCCCACUAAGUCAACAAAAAUUUUAGCUAAUUACAUCUAAUCAGUUAUACAUGGCUUUCGCAAGCUUUUCACCACCUUCACUGUUUGUUUUUAAUGGUGAAAACUAUCAUAUAUGGGUUGUUAAGAUAAAGACCUACCUAUAGACUUAUGACUUGUGGGAAGCCAUGAAUACUGAUGUUGAGCUCGCACCAUUAAAUGACAAGUGACAGCUGCUCAAACCAAACACCAUAGUGACAAGUGAGCUAAAACAUGCAAGGUAAUGUCCUGUAUACAAAAUGGCAUCUUAGAUGUCAUAUUCACACGUAUUAUAUCUUGCGAAACCCCAAAACAAACUUGGGAUAAGCUAAAGGUGGAGUUUCAAGGUUUAGAUAAGACCAAACUGCAACAGCACAGUAAUCUCAAGAGAGAUUUUGAGAAUUUAAAGAUAAAGGAGGUUGAAACUGUGAAGCAGUAUGUAAACAGGAUUAUAGCAGUAGUAAAUAACAUCAAACUACUUGGGAAGAGUUCGCAGAUAGCAAGGUUGUUGAGAAGUUCAUAAUAACACUUUCUGAAAGGUAUGAAUCUAAGAUUUCCUCACUUGAAGAUUCAAGGGACCUCUCGACGAUCUCUCUUUCAGAAUUGAUAAAUGCCUUGUAUAUUCAAGAGUAAAGAAGAGCAUCAAGCUGAGAGGGGCACGCAAAAGAAGUAUUACGAGCCCUCAGUAUUGAAUGUGCGAACCUCUAAAAACAUAAGGGGAAAAAAGUUAGUCAAAGAAGGAAAAGUCGAUGCAAAUGGUAGAAAGAACAAAUAUUCACCAUGCUCGUAUUGUAAGAAAAACAUUCAUCCUAAGAAAUAUUACUGGUUCAGAGCAGAUAUUAAGUGCAACUCAUGCAAGUAGUUAGGCGACAUGGAGAAGGUAUGCAAGAACAAAUGGAGAAACCCUCAACAGAAUGUGUAGGCUCAAGUAGUUGAGGAAGAUCACAUUCAGGAGGAGUAGGUGUUCACUGCCACAUGUUCUACCUCAAAAAAAUAGAGUUGUGAAAGGUUGGUUGAUCAAUAGUGGAUGCACUAAUCACAUAACAUCAGACGAAAGAAUCUUCAAGAAGAUUGACAGAAGUUGCGAUUUUAAGGUGAGGAUUGGUAAUGGCAAACUUGAAGCUAAGGGAAAAGGCAAAGUGGUGAUCAAAAUGGCCAUCAGGUACUAAAGUAAUCUCAAAUAUUCUUUUAGCACCUAUGAUAGAUCAGAAACUCCUUAGCAUUGGUUAACUGCUUGAGAAAAAUUACAACGUAGUUUUUUAAGAAUUAUGGUUUCGAUGAAGAAUAGAAGUUUUAUGUUGGAUUGGAAUUUGACGAACUCAAGGGUCUAUACCAAUUCUGUUGAUGAUGCGAAUCUUUGGCAUAAAAGAUUGGGACAUACGACUAUAAGUCUCUUAGUCGAAUGUGUGAGUUAGGAUUAGUUGAAGAAAUAAUCAGUGUUGAGAAGAAAAGUGGUAUCUGCAAAGUCUGCCAACUUGGAAAGCAGGCAUGGUUACCAAUUCCAAUGAACAAAGCUUGGCGAGCUCAAGAAAAGCUACAGUUGGUGCACUCUAACGUAUGCGAACCCAUGAAAACACCCUCAUUAAAUGGGUGUAGAUACUUUGUUUUGUACAUUGAUGACUAUACGAGGUAUUGUUGGGUGUACUUUUUGAAACAAAAAAAACUAAUGUCGUAGAAGUAUUUUGGAAAUUUAAAGUACAAGUUGAAAACUAAAGUGAUAGGAAACUGAAGAAGAUCAGGUCUGACAAUGGAACUGAGUACACCUCAGAGAAAUUCCAAAACUAUUGUGAAGAAGUUGGAAUCCAUCACCAGCUCACCAAUAUCUACACUUUGUAACAAAAUAGAAUGUGCGAGAGGAUGAACAGGAUAGUGAUGGACAUGGUGAGGUGCAUAUUAUUUGAAAGCAAGUUGCAAAAUGAGUUUUGAGCUGAGGCAGUGAGCACAUCAGUCUAUUUUUUGAAUAGACUAACAUCCAAGGUCGUAAAAGAGUUGACUCCAUUCAAAGUAUGAUUCGAAAAAAAACCUUUUAUUUCUCACUUAAAAGUCUUUGGAUACAUCUAUUUUGUUCAUGUUCCACAAGUGAAAAUGAGUAAGUUAGAAAGGAGGUUACAGCCAAGUAUCUUCCUUGGGUAUAGCAACAAUAGGAAAGGUUAUAGAAUUUAUGAUCCUUCUUCCAAAAAAAUUUUAGCGUGGAGGGAUGUCGUGUUCGAUGAAAAUAGAACAUGGAAUUGAGAUGCUAUUAAGACUGAGCAAAGAAUAGGCGAACUGGGUUCACAAAAUCAUUAUGAUUGCGAGUUGGGGUCGUAAUCAAGUGAUGAUCUUGACAACACUCCAAUAAGAGGCACGCAAUCGAUUGACGAGAUAUAUCAGUGAGUUGACGUAGGGUACUUGAACCUGCAAACUUUGAAGAAACAAAACCAUCGAAGGUUGGAAAGAAGUCAUGUGAGAUAAGCUGAAUGUAAUUUAUAAUAACCAGACUUGGGACCUCGUUGACAAACUAUGCACAAAAAAGUUAUUGACGUCAAGUGGGUGUUCAAAACUAAACUAAAUGCUGAUGGUUCUUUCAAUAGGCUGAAGGCGAGGUUGGUUGUGAGAGGUUUUAGUCAAUAGUGUGACAUUGAUUACUAGGAAACUUUUGCACCAAUAGCAAAACUUGAUACGAUCAGAUUAUUAUUGGCCUUAGCAACAUAGUUGGGUUGGAAAAUUCAUCAACUGGAUGUUAAAUAAGCUUUUCUGAAUGUUUAUUUGCAAGAAAAAAAAUCUAUGUGGAGCAACCUCCUAGGUUCGUAGUUAGAAGGAAAAAAUAAAAGGUAUAUAGGCUUAAAAAAACCUUAUACAGUUUGAAGCAAGCUCUGCGAGCUUUGUAUGCAAGGAUAGAUGAGCAUCUUGCGAGUCUAGGAUUUAAAAACAGCCCUAGUGAACCUACCUUGUAUGUUGAAAAGGUUCACAAAGUUACUUCACUAAUAAUUUCCUUAUAUUUUAUCAACCUACUUGUGAUUGGAAGUAGCGAAGUCUUAGUAAAGAAGUUCAAACAACAAAUGGAGAACAUGUUCGAAAUGUCAGACCUCGGAGAAAUGUGAUAAUUUCUUGGGAUGGAAAUACGACAAGUUUAGGAAGAAAUUUUCAUCAACCAACAUAGCUUGUAACACCCAUAACUUGUUUCCAUUGCCAGAAUAGGGUUAUAGAGUAUUACUGUACAAAAUAGAACAUUUUAUAACAUAUAGCAUUCAAUUAUCAAAUUGGUUUAAAUAAAUACAUAUAUAAUUCAAAAUGGAAUAAAUCAUACAUUUAUUGACCUUAAAUCGAGCCUACGAUGCCUUAAAAAUAGUUUGGGAACAAUCAGGGACCAAUUCAAAACAAAUUAGAAAGUUUAGGGGAAAACUAAAAAUUUUUAAAACAGGGGUCACAUGGCCUUGUGACAUGGCCCAGGCCGUGUGGUGCAUGGGCACGGCCGUGUAACUACUAGACUAUGUACCUUUCGAAACAACUUCACAUGGUUGUGUCGCCGGCCAUUUCCUAUCCCGUAUAACAUUUGAAGUACCCCCACACGGUCAUACCGCAGGCUGUGUUCGAUACUGUUUUGAGACACAUGCCCGUGUCGUAAGCCGUGUGUCAGCCCGUGUGAAAACUACACCUAACAUGCUCAGGGCACAUGCCCGUGUAGGUUGUUUGUGUGCAUCACACGGCCUUGUAAUAGGUUGUGUCCUAGGCCGUGUAUGCCUAAAAGUGACUAAAAUCAUGCUUAUUCUUCAUUCAAUUUUCAUAGCAACCUAAACCAAUUUAUAUCGCAUCAUUUCAACACCUUAAAAAACAUAAAAGGCGACCAAAACAUGCCAAAUAUGCUCAUCGAAACCUAACCUAAUCAUUCAAAAUCACAUCAUAUAAUACUUAUAAACUUCAUCCCUUGAAUCAAACAUAUAUACCACCAUACACAUACAUUAAGUUGGCCUACCUUAAUCUCAUGCACAAUGCUUAGUUUCAAACCAAACACAACCAUUCAUGUUCAAACACUUAGGCACAACUUAGAAGUUACCCCAGCAUACCAUAUGAAACUCUAAAGUUUAUAACAUCAAGAGCAUACCAACCAACACAUGGCUAUAAGCAUUACAACAAGUUCAUUAGCCCUACUACAUGCCAUAUAAGCCUAGAUGUUUACAAAAUCUACCAAAAGAGUUCUCAGGAUAGUAUGAAUCUUCGAGUUGAUUCGAUUGCCCGAUUGUCCACAAAAUAUUAUCUAUAAGAAAGCACAACACAACACGAGUAAGAUUUUAUAAGGCUUAGUGAGUUCAUCGAUUAAAUGAUAAAGUUUACCGAGAUAACAUAAUAAUUCAAAUAAUUAGUUUAUUGAACAAUCUCCCUGUCACAACCCAAUAUCAAAACUCUUGUCAAACACAGUUCACAACAGGUACAAAAAUGCUCAAACAUUAAUAAGGUCAAUAAUCAAUGCCUGAUGAAUGAAAUACGAAUACAAGAACACUAUUAACCAUCUGAGAACACGCCAAACACUCAUAUGAGCUAAUCCAAUCGAUAACAUGCCUCGGAACCAAACCCCCGAAAACAUGUCGGAAAACACUGAAGUAUAACACGAUAGUCCACAACAAAUGUCAGACUUCAGUAUAUUCAAUGAAUAGGAAAUAAUAGGAAUCAUCAUCUCAUCUCAAAUUAAUCUCAUACAGUGUGCACUAUAACCUAUUGGCAUGCCAAUCGUACUCUAUCCUACGUUCAUCAGCUCAGUAGAUUUCAACAAUAAUCAAUGCUAUAAAUAUUUGUUAUUCAAUUAUCAUAUGCAUACAUAACAGUAAAAUCCAAGUCGCAGCAAAUUAAUUCAUCCCAAAAUUCAAUUAAAAGUAUUAAAAUUAAACCGAGUGAACUUACUAACUAAUCCGCAGUGACAACGAAGGUACAGUGACUAUUCCGCUAUUUUCUUUUUUCCGCAACUCUCAAUGCAUUAUUGAUCUAGAAUAAUAUUUUCAUUCAAUUAAAUAUAUCAAUAGAAAAUUUAAAUUAUUUCAUGCAAUUAAGUUCUUUUUGAUAUUUUACAAAUCUACCCUCACAUUUCACUUUUAUUCAAUUUAAUCCUUAUGCCCUAAACAUGCAAAUUAACCAUUUUUAAUUUAAACCCACCUUGACCGAACCUCUUAGGGCCUCUCUACAGCUUCUAUUUUAUGUUUUUCACAAAAAAUCCUUAUAAUUAUUCACUUUUAACAAUUUAGUCCUUUAACGUUAAAAUCAUCAAAAAUUACUUUACAAAAUAAUCCAAUCUAACAAAAAAGUUUAAUAAUCUUCCAUAAGCAUUCAAGAAACAACUCAAGUCUUAAUGGAAAAAGUUAGAAUAUUUGACAGUUUUACAAAUUAGACCUAGGGUUAACUAGAUUAAACUAAUACGAGCUUAAAAAUAUAAAAAUUUACUAAAAAUGGACGAAGUUUCACUUACCUAUUGAGGAAUCAAAGUUGACUGAAUGGUGUUCUCUUCUUUUCUCUAGGGUUUUGGCUAAAAAAGAAAAAUAAUAGAAAGAAGAUGAUGGAAUUUCAACUUUGUUUUAAAUUAAUUUAAGCUUCUUUAAAUAAUUACAAAUUUACCCUUUUAAUUUCUCAUGAAAUUUUAGCUAAAUGAAAGCUAAACCGUCCACUCACCUUCCUAAUGGUGUAAUUUCCAUCUAAGUACCUUACUUUCCUUUUCAAUUAUCAUCUAGUACCUUUAAUUAAUGGACUCAACUUUUACAGCUUUUAUAAUUUAGUCCUUUUACUUAAUUAACUAUCAAAACGAUAAAAUUUCUUAACCAUAUUUUAAUAGGACAUUAAUGACCUCAUAAAUAUUAAUAAUUAAUAUUCACGGGCCGACAAGUUAGAGUUGUGGUCCUGAAACCACUAUUUUUGACACCACUAAAAGAUAGACUAUUACAGAGCUUUGCACUGAAGAUUUUAAAGAGGUUCUGCAUGGCGAAGUGUAAACCAAUCAGCAUGCCUGUUGCACUUGGAAAGAAAUUCUGUAGCGAUAAAAAUUUUCAAAAAAUUGACGAGAAGAACUAUCAAAGUCUUGUGGGUUGUUUGUUGUACUUAACAGCAACACAACCAAAUAUGAUAUUUGCAGUUGGCCUAUUAUCAAGAUUUAUGCACUGCUGUAAUAUUUUUUUUUCAAAGCAACGAAGAGGGUGCUGAGAUACGUCAAAGGAACAAUUGAUUUUGGUGUUUGAUUCGCAAUGGUGAACUCCUUAAAACUUAUUGAGUACUCUAACAAUGAUUAGGCAAGAUUAAUGGAUGAUAUGCAAAGUACUUCCAGAUAUUUCUUCUCAUUAGAAUCUGGGGUACUCUCUUGGAGUUUGAAGAAGAAAUCAAUAGUAGCUCAAUCCAUAGCAUAGGUUGAGUAUGUAGCUACAACAACAACAAUUAAUUAAGCAAUUUGGUUGAGAAAAAUUUAGUUUAAUUUGAAUCAUGUGCAGGUUAAAGGAACUCAAUUUUUUUGCGACAAGCAGCCUACCAUAACAAUUACGAAGAACCUAGUAUUUCAUGGAAAGACAAAACAUUUUAAAAUCAAGUAUUACUUUGUGAAAUAAGUCGAACAUAGUAAAGAAGUAACUUUGGUUUAUUGCAGUACUGAAGAUCAACUUGCAGACAUCCUAACCAAACCACUUGGAAAGUCAAGGUUUGAAGAGUUGAUGAAUAAAAUUGGUGUUCGCAACAUGAAGGCCAAAUUAGAGGAAUGUUGCAAGAUAAUCGUUCAUGCAAAGUUGGCGAACUUAUAAAAAUAUGAUCUGAAUUUUUAGAACUUACUUGCAAGUUAGAUUAGCAAAAUAUAUUUUCUUUCUAGAAGAUUUAAUAUUUAUUAGUACAAUAUAUUUAGCAUUUAUUAGAAUAAAAUUUUAAGUUAUUUCUUUCCAUAUUUUGCAUCUUUUUGUUAUAAAUACACAUUUUACAUUUGUUCAAAUAUGUGAGUGAUAAGUAAGAAAAAAAACCUUAGUAGACAAUUUUGUUGCUAAAUUUCUCGUUUCUUCUCUACAAUUCUUUCUUCAUUAGUGUCGAAAUUCCAACAGAAUUUCCCCAUAUUGAAGUCUGAUGAGUCCGACAUGAUAUCUACGACUACCAUGGAUUGCCCCAUGUCGGAGUCCGAUGUUAUAUCUACGACUAGCAAACACCACAAUCGCAUCUCCUCAAUGUUAUGUCACUUAAUUAAUAAUAAAUGGUCAUAAUCAUUUAAGUAGAUAUCUAUUAAAUAAUUAUGUUAAUGUCUAAAGAUAUGACUAUUAAUUUGGGUAGUUAUAUUCUUAUAAAGAGACAUGAGAUCUCCUAUGUGAAAUUUUAUUUGCAGAAAACACUAUAAAACUAAUUUCUUUCUAUUCUUCCACCAUAUUUUAUAUUCAUAGAUUAUUCUAUAAAAAAUAUUACAAAUUUUUUAUUUAUAAAAAUUGAUAUUCUUAUUAUGUUCAAUGGACUAUUUCUGUCAAUGCAAAACGUCAACGGCCAUUGGACUUUAUUAUAUUCUCAAAAUUUAUUUAUUAAUAACUUUUUUACACACUAUAAAAUAAGUGAGAAAGAAUAAAACCUUAAACAAUUAUAUCUCAAUGUGGUUAGUUUACCUACUGGUUAAUUAGUACCCAUCCCAUUGUUUCCACUGAAUUAGAUCCCCCAAGUAUCUUUGUUCCUUUUUGGCUCUCAACUAGUCCCUUUCGUUAGUGAACAACCUUUCCCGACUCCUCAGUAGCUGAGCAGAGUGCUAGCUAGCCAUCUGAUGUAAUCCAAGUCUCUCUCUUUAUGUUUUUACUGUGGUAGGUUGUUUUCUUGUCACUGCAUGCCCUCAGGUUGUGCAGAGAAAUUUUGUAGGGGCUUUUAAAAGGUAUAGGAAUUAUCUCAAUUUUCUUGGACCCCUUUUUGUUCUUUUUUGUUCGCAUAAAGUCUUACUCGCCUGUUUAACUUUACGCUCAAGGCUUGUUUCCUCUUAAUUCAAUUUUGUUGCCUAAGGCUUGUUGCAAUUCAAAAUAAAUGAAUGAUGGUGAUGGGUGUGGAAGUGUUAGAGUAGUUAUCAAAGUAGUUAAUACUGUUAUUAUGGUUAUCGGUUGCAGUUAGUCUGUUAUUAGCAGUUUCUUCAUUGUACGUAUGACUAUAAAUGCAUGAGACUUCUGCAUGCAUUAAACGAGAUAUAAUAAAAAGUAAGAAAGUCUUCUUUUAUGAAUAUUUUGUAAAAUCUAACAUGGUAUCAGAUGUAAGGUGUUUCUUGGUGUUUUUUGCUUGAUUUUUCCGCUGUGUAUGUUAAGUAUGGCUUGCAGCUCUGUUGAUGGAGUUGUCGAUAGUAGGAUUUUUUCAUCAAAGAAGAUCAGUAUCCUUCUUGAUGAUAGCAACUAUUUGUUGUGGCGACAACAAGUUCUUCUCGCAGUCAAAGCACACAAGCUUCAGCGUUUCUUGGAUGAGAAUCAAGAUUCUCCUACUCAAUUUAUUUCCGAUGAAGGUGGGGGUUGUUGUGAAAAUCCGGAGUUUGCUCAUUUUGAGCAACAAGAUAGUGCGCUUGCAUCGUGGCUAUUAUCUUCUAGCAGUCCGUUUGUCCUACCUCACCUUAUUGGCAUGGAUACAAGUGCGAAGAUCUGGAAAGCGGUUGUCACCUUGUAUGGGAGUAAAACCACUUCCAAGUUGAUGUUUUAUCGGCGGACCUUGCACUCUCAGCGCAAGGGUGAAAUGAGCAUGAAAGAUUUUUUAGUCAAGAUUAAAGGCUGUUGUGAUCAUCUUGCCAAUUGUGGUGAAAUCAUUAGUGAGCAUGAGCACAUCACUGCAAUUCUCAAUGGACUUUCUCCAGAUUAUGAAUCUGUUAUUAUAAUUUUUACUUCCAGCCAGGUGCCCUACACGGUUCAAGGAGUAGUGUCUAUGCUUCUUGAUACUGAAGCGUGACAACAGCUUGUAAGUACUGAAAUUUCUAGUUCUGCUAACGUGGUAUCGCAUCAAACGUCUGACUCUACAGGUUCUAAUGAUUCCAUUCCUUCUUAUCAACCAUCUUCUAUGAGUCGAGGGCGUGGGCGAGGUCGUUCUUUUCACUCGAAGAUUCAAUGUCAGUUGUGUGGGAAGGCUGGUCAUCUUGUUGCUCGCUGUUAUCAUCGGUUUGACUCUUCUUACAAGAGUACUAACUACAGGCCUCCUCCACAAGCAAACAUCAGCAUGGUUGGCUCCGAUCCUUCUACUACGCCUUGGUUCACUUCUUCUCAACCUCAAUGGAAUUCAUCAGGUUGGUGUUUUUCCACUCUUCCAUCGUCUACUUGGGCUAAUCCGUUUGUUGGUAGUCCUCCACAACAGGUUCCCAUGCCGUCCUCUGGUACAGCCCCAACACCACCUCAGGCGUAUGUAGCAACCCCUGAAACUGUAGCUGAUAAUUCUUGGUAUCUGGAUUCAGGUGCCACGCAUCAUUUAACAAAUUCAGCCAGCUCCAUUGGUGAUACUGGAUCUUUCAAAGGCCCAGGUAAGGUAUUUGUUGGAAAUGGUUCAGCUUUACCUGUUAUGUCUGCUGGACAGUCAUCCUUGCUUACUCACUCUCGACCUCUGUACAUGCGAUCCUUGUUACUCGUUCCUGGAAUUACUAAAAAUCUAUUAUCUGUCUCCAAGUUUGCUAAAGACAAUCAGGUCAUGUUUGAAUUUUUUUCCUGAUUAGUGCCAGGUGCGUGAUUUGAAGACAAAGGAGAUUUUUCUUCGUGGUUCUGUUCAUCAUGGGUUAUACAGACUUCAUAUUAAUCAGUCUAAUGGAACUCAUGCAUCUUCUAAGUCUGCUCAGUGUUUUUCGGCUUGUGUCAAACUUCCUCUUAGUGUUUGGCACAAUCGACUAGGACACCCCUGUCGUGCUAAUCUUACAAAAGCACUUAUACGAUGUAAUAUACCGUUUACUGAUAGUAAUAAAUUUGUUGAUUGUGUUGCAUGUCAUCUUGGUAAGGAAUGUAAGCUUCCUUUUUCAAAGUCAGCAACUGUGUAUACAUCACCUCUACAACUGGUUGUGGCUGAUGUUUGGGGACCAGCUCCGAUUACUUCCAAUGGCUUUCGGUAUUAUGUUGCCUUCACCGAUGCUUAUUCUCGAUAUACAUGGCUUUAUUUUCUGAAGAACAAGACUGAAGUUCAAACUGUGUUUCCACAAUUUCAUCGCCAAGCUGAAAGAAUACUUGGUACAAAGCUCAAGUCUCUGCAGACAGAUGGGGGAGGAGAGUUUCAGGCAUUGAAAACUUAUCUGAAUCAACAAGGUAUUGUACACCGACUCACUUGUCCCUACACAUCUGCUCAGAAUGGUCUUGUUGAGCGCAAACACAGGCAGGUUGUUGAAGCAGGUCUUUCUAUGUUAGCUCAUGCAUCAAUGCCUCUGAUGUUUUGGAAUGAAGCAUUCUGCAGUGCUAUAUUCUUGAUUAACAGGUUACCCUCUCAUCCUUUGGGUGAUGUCUCACCGUAUGAAAAACUAUUCCAAACAAAACCUGAUUACUCUUACCUUAGGACUUUUGGUUGUUUAUGCUUUCCCAACAUUUGGCCGUUUACCAAAGCAAAGUUACAAUUUCGUUCAAUACCCUGUGUUUUUCUAGGUUACUCCUUAGUACAUAAAGGUUAUAAAUGUAAAGACCCCCAUGGUAGAGUCUAUGUUACACGUCAUGUCACCUUUAAUGAAAAUACUUUUCCAUACAAAAGUCAUUGCUCACCAGUCACAUCACCUAUUUCUAGUUCACAAGUCAGUGCUAAACUUUUAGUUGUUCCUUCACCCCAUGUGUCAUGUUCUAACAAUAUGCCUACACCUCCACCAAAUACGCCACCUACCUCCACUACACCUAUCCCAUCACAUUCAAUGUCUCACUCACAAUCUGCUUCCCAUAAUGUAAUACAUAGUACACCUACUUUAUCACCUUUAACACCUUCUUCUCAACAAGCCGUACCAUCCCCACAAUCCGCACCUAUACCCACUUCCUUUCAACAACAGGAGAAACCCCUCCAACCCUUGACUCUCAACAAUCAUCACAUGAUUACCAGAAGCAAAGUUGAAGAUUUUAAGCCAAAGGUGUAUCUUAGUACAGCAGCUUCUUCCCCAAAAGAUGAUCCUUCCAAUAUUCAUGAGGCAAUGAUGUUUGAGUGUUGGCAGGAAGCAGUUUAUAGUGAGCUCCAAGCUUUGGCUCGAAAUAAUACCUGGACUUUGUGUUCCCUUCCAGAGAAUCGGAGGGCAGUAGGGUGUAAAUGGUUGUUUAAAGUUAAAAGAAAGUCUGAUGGCUCCAUUGACAGAUAUAAGGCUCGGUUAGUUGCAAAAGGGUUUUCUCAACAUGCUGGGUUUGAUUUUCAUAAUACGUAUAGUCCAGUGGUUCGAGCUUCCACCAUUCGCACUGUUCUUUCACUUGCAGUUAUGCAGGGGUGGUCUCUACGCCAAGUCGACAUCAACAAUGCUUUCCUCAAUGGUAAGCUUACUGAAGAAAUAUACAUGGACCAACCUCCUGGCUUUGAAGUCCCAAGUGUCUCUGGUCAGAAACUGGUGUGCAAACUAAAUAAAGCACUGUAUGGUUUGAGACAAGCUCCUCGUGCCUGGUUUCAGACUCUUAAGGAGUAUCUCGUGACUCAACUCGGGUUUCGAGCAUCUAAAGCUGAUUCCUCCUUGUUCAUUCGUGUGUCUGAUGGGAAGUGUCUUCUACUCAUGGUCUAUGUUGAUGAUAUUGUACUCACUGGAAGUCAUGAUCAAGACAUUGAAGAUGUUGUGCAGCGUCUUCACAGCAAAUUUGCUCUCAAGGACAUGGGAGCCCUCAGUUUUUUUUGGGCAUUAAUGUUCAACGCACUUCACAGGGGCUGAUGCUCAGUCAAAAGAAAUAUGUUACUGAACUGCUUGAGAAGACUGGAAUGCUUGGAGCAGCAUCCACGCCAACUCCGAUGGUAAGCACGCCUAAGCUAGUAGUUUCUGAUGGCAGUCCUCCAUUCUCGGAUGUGCACUUAUAUAGAAGUGUUGUGGGCAUGCUUCAGUAUGUUUGUAUUACACGACCCGACUUGUCAUUCUGCACUAAUAAACUUAGCCAAUACAUGAGUGCACCAAGCGACACUCACUGGAGAGCAGUCAAACGUGUAUUAAGAUAUUUAGCUGGCACCAUGGACCAUGGUUUGUGUCUUACAGCAGGACAACUAGAACUGGUGGGAUAUUCGGAUGCUGACUGGGCCUCUUCUAUCGAAGAUCGUCGUUCCACUUCUGGAUAUGUGAUAUACCUUGGGACAAAUCCUGUGGCUUGGUGUUUAAAGAAACAGUCAGUAGUCUCUCGGUCCUCUGCUGAAGCAGAAUAUCGCAGCUUAGCUAACUGCGUGUCUGAACUCCUAUCGAUUCAACAGUUGCUGCAUGAAGUUGGAAUGUCAAUAUCUAAGAUACCAACCAUCUGGUGCGACAAUUCUUCUACAGUAUCCGUUGCUGAAAAUCCCACUCAUCAUACCAAAAUGAAACACGUUGAAAUUGACCAUCAUUUUGUUCGUGAAAAGAUACUUGCUGGUUGUUUACAAGUCAAUUUUGUUCCUUCUGCUCAACAAAUUGCAGAUGUCCUUACAAAACCAAUCACGCCUAAGCAAUUUUCUUCCUUCAGAUGUGCUCUUCGAGUGCUACCAUCAAGAGAUUUUUGUAAUAUAAAAACAAAUAAGCAAGGGGAAUGUUAGAGUAGUUAUCAAAGUAGUUAAGACUGUUAUUAUGGUUAUCGGUUGCAGUUAGUCUGUUAUCAGCAGUUUCUUCACUGUACGUAUGACUAUAAAUGCAUGAGACUUCUGCAUGCAUUAAACGAGAUAUAAUAAAAAGUAAGAAAGUCUUCUUUUAUGAAUAUUUUGUAAAAUCUAACAGGAAGGACGAAAAAUGAAUGCACCAUAUGCUUUUGUUUCCUCUUAAGUCAACCUUUUGUAUGAGAUAGAAAUAUUUGAACUGUAAAAAUAUUCUUGUAUGAAAGUCACAGCACCAAAAAUACGGAAAAGGUACAUAGAGGUUGUACAUCUUUUCCUUUUAUCUUGCUCAAUUCCUCAAAAUUAUUAGGUCAACAUGCAUAACGAAGAAGAUUAUAUUCUAUUCUCCGAUUUGUAACUGAUGCUUUAGUAACAAAGUAUCUUAGCAGGCAGAAUCCUUUGGAAUCUCUCGAGAUACUUAUGCGGUAACUUGCUUCAUGCUUGAGCCGUAAUGCAGCAGUUUGUUCCUAAGGCAAGUGAGUCUGGAUUAACCAAGCUACAAAAGGGAAAAAAAAUGAGCUGCCAAAGAAAUCCAUUUAAGAGAUGAUAAGCAUAUGUGAUAUGAUUGGUUACUAGUGUAAAAAAGUUUAUUUAACAAAAAAGUUAUAAUUUGUACAAAUUUAAACAUGUAAUUAGAAAAAUGAAUAAAAACUAUUAUAAAAAAUAAAACCUUUAAAAUAAAUUCAAAAAAUCUUUCUUCUUGCCACAAACAAGUCAUAUAAGUAGUUAAAAAUUACCCAUUGUGAUUAAUUUAUAACUAACCAAAGAUUAAAACAUGUGAACAAAAUAAUACUCCAACCGCACAUAACCGUUACCAAAAUGUCCCAAAGGACAAUUAACAAAGAAAAUAGUUUUAUUGAAUGACACCAAGCUCUUCCUAGGGAUGAUCUUAUUUUAUAGAAGUAUUAUUUGACAAUAAAAAUCAAAAUAAAUGAUAAUAACAACAAUUUCAAAAAACAAAUUAUCAUGUGAAAAAAUUCAAAUAAAGGAUAAAACUAGAAUAUUCAAACACGUGCUUAAUACACCCCCAUCAAGUUAGUUGUGUUACAACACCACCCCACUUGGACAGGAUCCGAAGAAGAGCUGGUUUAGGCAAUAGUUUUUAGUGUAUCUACAAGUUGAUCAGUAGCAUGAGUGUGUUUGAUGAUUACUUUAUGAGAUUGAACAUGAUUUUGAACAAAGCAAAACUCCAAUCGUUUGUGUGUUGCUGUUCUUAAGGUGUUAUAUGCCCCAGUUAUAGGUACUCGUAUAAUUGUUACUUUAUAACUUGCAAAAAUCAACUGCUUCUAUAUUGAAAAAUACUGAGUUAGCCAAUAACACGAAGAUACAUCAUACAUGGUUGCAUCAACGGUAUGAGACCCAUCAGAGGCUCGAAGCAAGAAAUUAAAGCACGUGGGUGUUGAUAUACCUUUACAGUCUUGCAUAUUGGGUCCUUUUGAUGACUCAAUUUAGGGUUGGUAUUGAUAAAUGGUUGGUAAUGGUGGCUCGUGUUGAAAUUUCAGCUUCAGUUUGCAUGGGGAAAGAGAAUAAUUGGGUGGUUCUGAGGGUCUUCACACUGGUAGGUAAGAAAAGGUUGAGGUUUGGAUCAGUUGAAGAUGGGGACUCUAUUCUGAUGUUAUUUGAGUUGGAAGGGGGAGAGAAAGUAGGAGGAGGUGGGGAGAUACCUAUGGUUGCGGUUGUCGUUGUAUGGAGCCCGGAGUCAACGAUAGAGGAGAAGGGUUCAUGUGACUUGAUUUUAAUAGGAAAAGCGUGGUAGUUGUGGCAGAAUUUUGAUUGAUUGCGUGGAAAGCAAAGCUAAAUUGACUGUGGAAAAAUGUUGGUUGCAUGGAAGAAUACAUGCUUUGAAAGGGAAAUACUAGUUAAAAACAAGACAUCACAAGAGAUAAAAAUUCGAACUUAACUGGGUCAUAACAUAAAUGAGCAUGAUAAGCUUCUGCUUUGAUGAUAAAUAAUUUAUCAAAAUUAUGGUAUCUAGACUUUAUCAUUUUUGGUCAUCAACAAAACACAAACCCUAUCUCUAACUUCAACUACCCAUGACCAUGGUGUUCUUCUGCUUCUUCUAGUCAAACAAAUUUGCAGGUCAGUUUACCUAUUUUUCUCUUUUCUUAUUGCAUUUGAAUGGUUGAUAAGCUAAACUUUGUGUGUUAGUAGUAGGUUUAAAUGGUUUAAUCAUUCUUGAUCGUUGUUCAAGAUUAGUUAAUCCGAAUUAGAAAUAAAAUAAGAGAAAGGGUUCCAUGUUUUGAAUCUUUAAUCACCAUAAUACCACUUCAUGUGUGCUUAAUGUGUUUUCAAUUUUUUUUUGUUUGUUUUUUAUUUUCUAAUAACAAUAGUUUUAAAGAUACUUUCGCAAAUAAAGAUAAUGAAUUAUAUUUAAUCGUAUUUAUUAUAUUAUUUUGUAUUUGUUAAACAUAAAUAAAUGCAUAAAAAGCAGGUUGUAGUACGUGACUUUGUCUAUUGAAUAUCAAAAAAGAAAAAAAAAUAGAAAAGACAAAGAAAAGAAAGUUUAAAAGGGGAACCAAAGCAGGGAACAAGAAAAUAAAAGAGAGAGAAAACGGAGGCAAAAAGGGGGAGGAAAAGUGUAAUAAAAGAAGAAAAAGAGUUUAGGGAGAGAGGAAUUAGAUAGAUUGAAACUUGAAGGAGGUUUUGGGCCGCAAGGGAAUACACUGAUGUCAGCACUUCCAUUGGCAAAGCUUCGUCUUGCUUUCCGCCUGCCGCUGGGGAUCGCCAUCAGUCAUGGCUAAUUAAAAAUUUGGAGAGAGGAUGAUCAAUUUGCUUUUAGCUGACAUCUGGAAACUAACCAAUAAGCAAUACAAAGUUUCAAAAGUUUUUCUUCUUUUAAGCAUAUAACCGGGAAAAAAAUGUUUAUUUUACAUUACAAUAAAUUAUCAAAGGUCUUCUACUGCCUUUCCGAGAAGUGUUUGAUGAGUAACCCCAGAAAAGAUCAAGUCGAAAACCAACAAGCGAAACGAAAUUUUCAUAAUUUUUGUUGUUUAAAGCAAAGACCCCGGGAAAACAAUGUUAACAUUCCGACAAUCAAAGGUCUUUAUUGUCCGUCCGACAAGUGUUUGAUGAAUAACCCCUGAGAAGACCAAGUUGAAAGUACGAGCGAGUGGGUGACUUGGUGAAACAAUGGUAGGCAACGAUGGUAAGAAAAAAGAAACUGGAGAAGAAAAGAGACGGUGAAAUGCAGUGGAUAAAGCCUGAGGAAAGCCAUUUUUUUAACUCUAGAACAAACUAUCAGGUGUUGGCUUUCAGUAUUUUCUCUCUUCAUUUUGUUCUAAAUAAUAUAUUUUCUUCUUUUAGUACAAAGAAGGUGGCAGCCCACAGAUCGGGCAGAAGGAAGGUGUUUUGCAGAAGUCGAGAUUUGAAUCCUGAACUCGUUGAAUGUGUCUCCUAAGUAAUUAUAUGAACCAACCAGACUAGUUUGGAUUGUUGUAAAAAUGUAGUUUCUAACAUGACACUUAAAAUAUAGUUUCUAACAUGAUAAUGUUAAUGGUUAAUUAGAAAGUUCAAGAAACUUGAAUGACUGAUGCUGUAAUUUAUUUUAUAUAUCACGAUAUAUUUACAAUAUGAUAGAACUUGCAUAUUUUAGUAACGAUUUUGAAACCAAAAUAACCCCCUAAAUUCUGAACUCAUUAAUCGAUUUGGGAUAACACUGUUAAUUUAAUGGUUUGGGUCCUAUUUAAAUGGGUAAAUAAGAAUGAUUAGCCCUCUUGAAUUUAGAUCCUGUAUGCGGAUAAAUGUUGAAAUGGUUUAGGCUAAAGAAAAAUAAUUGCUAGAACUGUUGUUUAACUUCUGUAGUUAAGUUCAUAUUAAUUUUGGAGGUUAUUUCAAUAUGUUUAUACUUGGCUUGUUGUAAUUGAUAUAAUAAAUGAUGGUGAUAGGUGUUAAUAAAGAAAAGUAUACAAUACUUUUGAUUGCUCUUUAAGUCAAUUUUAUUUGUCUGAAAUAUUAAACUGCAGAAAUAUUUUUCCAUGAAAAUCACAGCUCCAAAAAUGUGAACAAGAAAUACAUGGAGAAUAUACAUCUUUUUAUAGUAGUAAUUAACUUAACUUUUAUUUCUCAAUUCCUCAAAGAUUAUUUGUUCAAUAUACAUAAUGAAGGAUAUUAUUUUCUUCUGUUCAGACAGCAAGUGAUGCUUUACAAACAACGCAUUGUGUGAGGCAAGAUCCUUUUGAAUUGCCCGAUUAACUUUUGUGGUGUCAUACUCCAGACUUAACUAAAAUGCAGCGGUCUGUUACCCAGGCAAGUGGGACUGGAUUGGCCGAGGUACAAAAGGUGGAAUGGGCAGCCAAAGAGAUCCAUUUAGCUGAUGAUAAACAUAUAGUGUCUGAGCUGCCAAGAUGUCCAAACAGCUCUUCAUUGAUUGCAUUGUAUUUGCAGGGAAAUUAUGAGCUGACAGUUAUUCCUUCCUUGUUCUUUCAGCGCAUGCAACUUCUCCAAAUAUUAGAUUUGUCCCGUACUAGCAUCAAAUCUUUGCCAAAAUCUCUUCGUAAGCUGCUUGCAUUAAAAAAACUCUUGUUACAAGGUUGUGAUCUCUUCAUGGAACUAUCACCUCAAGUUGGGAAACUCAAAAAUCUUGAAGAGCUUGAUCUUGAUGAAACUCAGAUCAUGGAUUUGCCUAAAGAGACUGGAAAGCUACUCAAGUUAAAACUAUUGAAAGUAUCAUUCUAUCAUUUAUGUGGCAAAAAGACGUUGAAAUCGAACAUUUUGAUUCACCCUGAGACAAUAUCCAAUCUCUCACAACUUGCAGAGUUAAGCAUUGAUGUGAAUCCCGCAGACAAGAGGUGGGAUGAUUCCGUGGAAGCCGUUCUGAAGGAAGUAUGCAACUCAAAAACAUUGAGGACUCUUAGCUUGUACCUGCCCACGUUCCAACUUUUAGAUUAUGCAUCAUUGAUAUAUCCUUCCUUGUCACGCUUUAGAUUUACUGUUGGCCAUCAUAAAAGGAGAAUCAUAUCUCGUGUACCUCAUGAAGUUGAAGCAGAAUUCAGAAAAUGGGAC